rnacentral:rRNA from 1 species
UUUAAAGAGAGUUUGAUCCUGGCUCAGGACGAACGCUGGCGGCGUGCCUAAUACAUGCAAGUCGAACGAACGGAGGAAGAGCUUGCUCUUCCAAAGUUAGUGGCGGACGGGUGAGUAACACGUGGGCAACCUGCCUGUAAGUUGGGGAUAACUCCGGGAAACCGGGGCUAAUACCGAAUGAUAGAGUGUGGCG